rnacentral:lncRNA from 1 species
UCCUUCAUUCUUUGUCAUCUUUCUAAUCCUCCCAUAAUUCAUUCAAGGGGUGCAUCUCUCUUCAAUUGUAUAACUUGCUUCAUGAGUAACAUUAAACUCUUUACAUGAAACCUUCCAUCCGAACACAUCACACAUCUGAAAAAAAACCCCAAACAACCAGAGAGGUGACGUUGAACUGUCUAUUUUUAAUGGAAAACAAUAAUAGUACAAAAUGGGUAGAAACCUACAUUUCAAAAAAAAAAUCCUGAAAUUAUAUCUACAUGUAUGGUGACUCAUCCAUUGGUGAACUUUGAGUGCCCAAAUUCUUGAGCUGAUACCUAAAUAUUAACAAUAAGAGUGGUUGAUCACAUUUGACUGACACCAAACAAUUGAUAAGGAAUGAUUCUGAAGCCAAGUUUACCUUUGGCUGUAGAAAUGUGUUUUCAAAAUUCACUGCACAUGAUUAAAAACCAUAUGAAAACAUAUAAAGGAAAAUAUACAUGUAGUUUUAGAAGGUGUGGUCUUAUUCAAAUUCCCUGCCGUCUUUUACUGUUACGAUUCUUUUGUGACAUCUUUUCCAUUUGGGAUUUUUUCUUUACAGUCACCACCACUACGCCACAAGAUCACAGAAAUAAUGCUCAUCAUUACAUGGUGUCUUGAAAAUAUAGUUAUAUGAUAUAUAGAAAUAAACACAACAACCAUCAAGUGAGGUUAUUGCAUGCAUAAUGGUAUGAUUACUAAAUCAUAUUUCAGGUCAUAUUUCAGGAUUUAUCAAAAUCCAUAAAUAGCAUGAUUUGUAACUUUCUUUUCAAGUAAUAAUAUUAUAUUAAUGAUCAAAACAUUACUACAGAUUCAAUAUGACUUCUUUACAUAUAACAAUAUAAAAAUAGGAUGGCCUAUGCACUAAAAUACAUAGUCAACCAUUAUUUUUCUUGCACUUUUAACACUAAGUUUCUUUAAUUUCAUUUUGACAAACAAUGUCAAGCCUGCAAAUGAGUGCUAAGACAAGGGGAUUAAAUUAUGUUUACAAAAGUUGAUUUGCACAAACCCAAAACUAGUUUGGCAUCUCUAUAGGUGUGAUGACCCAGAGUUUGAGCAAUCCAUAUUCACUGACAACUGUUAUAAGCUACUGAAAUCCUUGCAUCUGAUUAGCUCAGAGCAAAGGUGUCUGUGCAAACCACCCACAAGAUGCUCUAUGAAAAACUUACCAGGGUCCUGUAACACAAAGCCUAGCGAUGAAUAGCAAAUAUGAGAGAACACUUCUGAUUGGUCCUGGUCAGUAUUUUACGCCAAAUGUAGGUGUAAUAUUGAUCUCGAUUGGUCAGUUUAUUUAGCGAUUGAUCGCUAAUCUUUGGGUUACAGAGCCCUGAUCACUUGAAGAGUUCCAUUUUGUCAAAACCAACUCGAUGAGUUGAGCCCUUUUGGCAUUACAAGCAAAUAUUGUUAUCAACAAAAUCAUGCUUGGAGAAGCUUUCAAACCAUCUUUUCCCAAGCCGAUUGCAAUGGCACAAAAAUUGUCAUCAAAUAUGAAAAACAAUACAAUAAACACUUUCAUCACUAUCUCAAUAUGCUUUGGAAAGCCUCUGAAAUUGUUUGUAUAGCUUUCAAAUCAUGCAAGUAUGUCUUUUGAUGGUUCCAAAACUUUGAAAUACGAAAAAUAUUUGAUACUUUGAAGCUGCCUUUAAUUUCUCACUGAUGUGGAUUUUACUCUUAAUGCUCUAUUUAGUUCUUUAUGACAGUGUGUUAACUUUGAUAUGUACUAUGUCAUAAACAUGUUUUAUUGCAUAGGCUUUGCCUCAUAUUUUGUUAAAUACAUGUAGGAGAAGCAUGAUGAAAAACAUCCACAGCACAAAUUUUUCUGAAACUGCUUCAACACGGGCCAAUUCAGAACCACAUGAAUUCAUUAUCAGCCCCAUUAAAGUCAAGAUGAUGGCUAUAUGCAUAGUAUGUCAGAUGGGCUCACACCACUAUAGCUACAUGUAAAUGUACAUCCCAGAACAAAAUGCAAUGUAAUUUGAAAUCAUUGAAACAUGAUUUGUACUGUAAAUCUUCAUCACAUAUUAUUUUGUUAGACGAUGUGCGAAAGACAAACUAAUCAUGGUGUAACUUUCCAUACACAAGACAUAUUCGAAUCAAUCGCAGCUCUUAGUAACUACUUAUUGGUAAGGUGAUAAGGACAUAGUAAAUAAGCACUUAAGGAUUAUUAUCAUUUUCUUGAUCACAUGUGAUCAGCCUUACCAGCAUACAAUGCAUGCACAAACUCAACACAAAGUUGUUGAGCAGACAACACCAUACAAUAGUAUUGAUUUCCCUGAUUGUAAUCCCAAAUAACUUUACAGAAAGAUUAACCUGAGAACUCCGGUCUCUGUAUGCCUGAUACAGGCAAAUAUACAAAUCAUUCAUUAUAUUAUAAGACAAAGAAAAAGAGACUUAAAGCCAACCACACACUACACAAUCUGACAGCAACCCAAAAUUUUAGAAAAAAAUAUGUAGCAUUGUAAUUAAAACAUUCAAAUAUGGAAAACUACGUUGGUCAAAGUACUAUAUCAUAGCAUGGAUGUUUUAAAGUUUUUAGUUAGACUAAAGGCAGCUGCGAGCGUGCUUGCACAGAUCCAUUACUGGCAUGAAAAUUAAUUUCUGAAGUGGAAAGAUGUCGUGUAAGUUAUGUGGUAGGGUUAGAUUGAAGCCGAUUUUACUAAAAAAUAUAUUUGAAAAUAUUUGCAUAACAAUCUUUUGAUUUCAUUACACUUAACAUGAGAGAAUUCUAUUGUCAUUUGCUAAGUCGGGGGGGGGGGGGGGGGUUAAACGUGAAUAACAAUCACUCAUAAAUUCCUGGUUGGAAGCAGAAUAGCACAGCACAGCUAGGACCGAGAGGUAUGCUACUUCUACUACUGCAUGCUGCUACUACUGUUGCUACUACUUCUGCUACUACCACUGUGCAAAAAAAAAAAUAAGAUUGUGCUAAAUAACUUUCACACAUAUUCAGCUACUUUCCCAUGAUUUAAAAAUUUUAACUAUCAAUGAAACAGCUCUAAGGUCUCGUAUCUGAUCAUGUAGUGUGUGUGCAGUGUACUCUGAUCACAUUUUACCCUGUUAUCAUUACAUCAACAAUCAAACUUUUGCUCUGAUUACAUCAACAGGAAAAUAUACAAACCUUGAACACUUGUAGAAAAAAAAUCGAUUGCAUUUACAAAUUCACUUCACAGUCAACUUUUGUACUGAAUUAGAGUGCAUAUUACAUCCUAACAAGAAAAAAAAUAUACACAUGAAAGACUACACAGAAAAAGUCUAACACUACAUAUGGCCAUCAUUGACUAUGUAGUAACAACCCAUGGUUGGCCGGGUGCUAAAACAAAUUCAGUUGGCUUUCUAAGCUGAAUAUUCUUAAAACUAUCUCAUCAUGCAAAAACUAAUUACACUCUGCCUUGUUAGGCAUAUAAGAUAAUACAUCAAAGAUGUAUUGGGGUACCGUAUACCACAAAGGUUAACAAUUAAUCAUACACUUGAUUGUACAUUGUAGUCAAUGCAAUCAAUCAUAGAUAUAUGAUCUAUGAUCAUUGCUAUGCUUUUUGUUACGGACCCCAGAUGCACUUUAUACAUAGCGAAUGUUUUCUUGCUCACCGGCACGUUCAGUGUACAUUUCCACACCCUGGGGACCAUUCUAUGCUCCUACUGCAUUUCUCAAAUGCUCAAAAUGUUGAUAAAACCACAUGUAGUUCAAACAUUAACAAUCGACCUUGGGCCCAUUCACAAAAGGGUAGAGAGUGGCAAAUGAAAAUCAUUGCCUUGCCGACUAAAAUGUGACAAUUGAAUUCUGAGAACCAUCCAAACAUUAUGGUACUCUGCUAUCACAAACAUUGGUAUCAUUAUCAACCAAAACUUACUGUACAUAGUUCUAAUGAAUUAAAGAAACUCUUUAAGUGUUGUCUUUCCCAAGGUAUAUUAAUUAUUUUCCACAAAUUCAUUUCUUUUCAUCAGGUGUUCCUUAAGUUAACUUCUACUGGUAGUUUCGAAUCCAUAAAAAGGUAAAUGCAUGGUUUUAUAACUCUUAUUUGAAUUUCAUACAUGAUUUCUGUAUUGUACUGGCAGACUUAUAAAAAAAUACAAUAAUGUCCUUCUCUAUAAAAAAUAGCUAUGGAAAUAAGAUCAGGGAAAAUUUCACAAUGAAAGAUCUUCAGACUCUCAGACGUCAUAUGACGACACAAGAAUACAAUUCACACUUUUUUCAUUUCCAUCACAUAAUUACGUUCGCAUUUUGAGGAUGAAAGACAUAUUUCUGAACGAUAUGAAUAUUACUUCUCUCUGCUGUGAAGGCGUAAGAUAAAAACAUGAGCUUUAUUUUAAUGAUAAAAUACUUUAAAAAUUUUGACAAGAGCACAUCCAUGUUGCUUUGGAUCCCUCCAGCACAGACCAGCACAAGCAUUGUCAGAAAAGAAAUUAUAUAACUUUUGGAGAUGUCUAUUACAAAAGUGUCUAUUCUGUCAUAUUGGAAUGACAGUUUAACAACCAUUAGCCUCACAAAGGCAGUUUGAUUAUUAAACAUUAUCGGACCAUCUUCAAGAGCAACCUGAAAACAUACCUGUAAAAGAGUGCUUUAUGACAGACAUCGACUUAUUGUUCAAACAUGUAUUAUAUGUAAUAUGUACGUAGUUUGGUUUAGGUGUUGUUCUGCUCUGAAGUGCCUUGAGAAUCUAAUCAAGAUGGAAAGUGUGCGAUACAAGUCUUACAUGUAGUGUAUUAUCAUUAUUAUUAUUUAUUCAUGUUACAGGUAUAAUGAUGAAAAGAUAUGCACCCUCGAUAAGUAUUAUCAUAUUGUCGCAGUAUU